GCAGGAGCAAGCAUCUGAUGA
rnacentral:miRNA from 1 species